rnacentral:lncRNA from 1 species
UUUCCUCGUUAUGAUAAAAAUUCCAAAGAAAAGAAUUCUUCAUAAAAACAAUUACUCGUCUUUUUAUAAAAAUAAAUAUGUUAAAAAAAAAGUCACUCAGUUCAGCGAGGUAAUCGACAUGCAAGCAAACUCUAAAAGAGGAGCCUGCAAUCCGGUCUGUUGAGCUUGAAUAUUAUGAAGUCAUCAUCGUGACACUUCUUCCACAAAUAAAUUAGAGUAAAAAGAAAAUUAGAAAACGUGUAAAAUUAAAAGAAAAAAAAAAGAAAUAAAAGAAAUUGCUUAAUCAAGUAAGAGCAGAUCAAGCUAUCAAACAUUAUCUUAUACGUAAAUACCAUUGAUCACAUUUUGUAUUCCAUGCGAAAUUGGUUUUUAUGAAAAUGUUUCAUGUAAAACUGAACAAUGAAACUACAAAUCCUUGAUUUAUAUUAUAACUACAUAGUAAAAACUCAUAUCAAAACAUUAAAACUACAACUUGACAAAAGAUAAUUAACUAUUAGCGAUUAUUAAGGAAAAGCAAUUAAAAUUCAAUUAGUGGUAACUCACAACAAAUCUAUAGAAGGAUUUCCAGAUCACAAAUCCAUACCACAGAAAAUGCAAUCAUGAACCAGGAAUUUCAGAGAAGGUACAUGUUAAAGCUAAGCAAAAGCACUCAAAGAAAACAUUUUCAUAGGAAGCGAUUGAACUUCGAAAGGUAUGACACAAGCCACCAUAUCAUCAUCAGAACGAUAAUCAAUUUCAUUCACAACCAUAACUAGUUGUGUCCAAAGGUGUCCUAAGAUUGAUCUGUGUCAUCAUUUGACUUAUGGCAACCAAUAAACUAAGAAAAAUGUUGCAAAAAAAAAAAAAAAAAAAAAUAUGUGCCACAAAUUAAAAACCAAAAGUAAAACUUGAAUUAAUAAACAGUAUGUGAUUCAGUUGCAACAUAAACAUAAUCACUAUUAUAAAAUCAGUCCAAGUGUUGGAAUUAAAAUAAUUGCUUCAUCAUCAUCACCAUUAGAACAAAAUAUAAAACGGCAGUUUCAUAAAUAGAAAAACAAGAAUAAAAGGUCAUUCAUCACCGAAAUCAGAAGAGGGAGCUUAGAUAUCCUCAUUAUGAUCUCAAUUUCAAAAAGGUCACUCCUGGGCUGAACAUUUGAGUCCAAUAAGUAUUAAUGGAUCGAAUCUCCUUCAGAGGUUAGGUUUGCACGAGAUUUACUUUUGGAAAAUUAUUUAAAACUACAAUAUAAGUUUAUAUUAUUACAUAAAAUUUUAAUUAUUAAAAAUAAUUAUAAAAAUCUCUUUUUAUUACUUUUUCUCUCCAAGUGUCGUAUACAUAUCUCAUCUAUCUUUUUCUUAUGUUUAAUGCUCCUCAAAGAGUAUCUACAAUCAAGGAACCUUAAUCAAGCGGUUUUUAAAUUUUGAAUUUACAAACGUAUUCUUCUCAAAUUGCUCAAUAUCAACUUUUUCAUAAAAAGAAAUCACAGCCGCCGCAUUCCACUCAUCUCCGAUCGGCACACCCCACCAACCCCGUCUCUUUGCCUUCGUCGCUGCUCCAGUGAGAAGCUCCAACUCUGAUGAAUCGAAGUUAACCUCAACAAAUCAACAACCUAUCUGACCGGUGAAAUCUAAUAAAAUUCUAAAAGUUUCUCUCAUCCGAUGAGCUUUGAAAAUACUUCGAAGCAUAGUCAUAAAUAAAAUUAUGGAAAUGACCAAUAAGAUAAGAGGUUCAAUAUGUGAAACAAAGUAAUAUCCAUGUUUUAAUAACAAAAUACAAAACAAAAAUUCAACACUGUCUAUGAAGCCUUUAACUUUAAGAAUAACUCCUAAGUAGGGACUGUGGACAAUGAAAUUUUAUGAAAUGCAAAUCCGUACAAAAUUCGGAUAAUAUUAAAUUUAAAAUAUAUUAAUCCUAAAUAAAUAGUGUGGAUUAAUAUAAUUGGAUUAAUUAGUUAAAGUCCAAACGCAUAUGGAUUUAAUUAAAGUCCAAACGCAUAUGGAUUUAAUUAAAGUCCAAACCUCAAUUGGGCUAACCUAUUAAUUUGGGCUACAAAUGACUAAGCCCACUUUAGCAAGCCCAAGAUGCCGUCAUGUUCUAAAGGCCCAAUUUGGUACCACAUGUCAAAUGAAGUGGUAUGCCAAGUCAAGUGAAGGAGUCAAUGGGACUAUGUCAUGUGUCAAAAUGAUGCAGUAAAUUAAAAGUCCAUAAGAAAUGCCAUGUCACUUAAAUAUGAUUGGUCAAAGAAAGUUUAUGUUUACAUGACUCUUUACUCCCUACAACUAUAAAUAGGGGCCUCAUAAUUCAGAAAAGGGACCAACAAGUUUAACAAGAAGCAAGAAAAAGCUCGUGGAUCAAAAAAGCAGAUUUCUCUACAAAUUCAAGAACAAGCUCAAGAUUUCAAGAUCAAGAGUUCAAGGUUCAAGAACAAGCUCAAGAUUUCAAGAUCAAGAGUUCAAGGUUCAAGAACAAGCUCAAGAUUUUAAGAUCAAGAGUUCAAGGUUCAAGAACAAGCUCAAGAUUGCAAGAUCAAGAGUUCAAGAUUCAAGAACAAGUUCAAUCUUCAAGAUCAAGACUACAAAAUUCAAGAACAAACUCAACGGCCCUUGAAUUCAAGUACAAGUCGAGAUCAAGUUCAUCAAGUCUUCAAAUCAAGUUCAAGUUCAAGAUCAAGACCACAAGAUUCAAGAACAAGCUACCAAGCCCUUGGAUUCAAGCACAAGUCAAGAUCACAUCCGUUAAGUUCAAGUUAAAGUUCAAGAUCAAGCUCGAAGCCCUUGAAUUUAUAGUUUAAAAAGGCAAAUCAGAGGAAUCAUAGAGAUUGUAACACUCACUUAUUGAAAUCAAUAAAUCGAUUGUUGCAGUAUUUUUUCUUGUCUCGAUUAUUAUUUUUUGUCUCGAGAAUUUUACUGUCCAACAAAUUCUGGCACGCCCAGUGGGACGAUUUUUACCUCUCAUCUCAACUUUUUAGACUUUGAAGAUUAAGAACGCUGAAAUGACUUCUAAGAAGAUCAACUCUCAAUCAACUGCUUCCAAGGCUGCUGAUUCAAGGUUCUCUUCUGAAGUGGAAAGCAUUCUUGGUGUUACUUUCGAAAGUUUAGGAGCUGUCACAAGGAGCAAGGUAGGCUUGCUAGGACAACAAACACAUCCAGUGUCGUUCGUGCCAAUUCCAGUUUUUGGAUCUUCAACCCCAAAAAGAGCGAAGUCCAAUACAAGUGCUUCGGAAGGAGGAAGCAGUGUCGCGGAAUCGCUUAAGAAGACUCUAGCUCUACUUGAGCAUUCUGGUUCCAAAUACUCUAGCACAAAGAGCGAUGGUCGUUCAACAAAUGCGUCAUCUCUAUUUAUACCGCAUAAGCUGAGCACAUCAAAGAUUAACUUAUGUGGCAAACCAUAUUACUCUCCAACGUCUCCAGUGAUCAUGUAAGCAAUGGUGACUGAUGCCUCGUCUAUGGAGGAGCAACUGGUGAAUCUGACAAAGGCAAUUGAGAGCCUGACCAAAUAUGUUCAGAAUCAAGAUGCUCGAAUUAAUAAGAUAGUGGAUAGGGUGGAAGGCCUGAUAGAUGGAGCAUCUAGAUAUACACUAAGAAAAGCUCUAGAGGAUCAAGAGAAAGAACAUCCUGGAAGCAAACAGCACCAACUAAAGAGGUACAAGUUUCUUCUGAGGGGAUGAUCUCGAUUGAGCAAUUGAAAAAAUUCAUUGAAGGGACCCUCAAAGACAAGUAUGAUGUUUUCACUAAGUUUUUUCUUGCGAAUGCCAAGCCCUACACUGUAAGGAUCGCUAGCCUCAAAAUUCCUGCAGGUUAUCAACCGCCCAAAUUUCAAUAAUUUGAGGGCAAAGGGAACCCGAAACAAUAUGUCGCACACUUUGUUGAGAUAUGUAAUAAUGCUGGAACUUAUGGAGACUAUCUUGUCAACCAGUUUGUUCGUUCCCUAAAGGGAAGCGCAUUUGAUUGGUAUACGAACCUUGAGCCUAACUCCAUCGAUAGUUGGGAGCAAUUGGAACAUGAGUUCGUGAAUCACUUUUAUAUCACGAGGCGUAUAGUGAUCAUGGUAGAGCUCAUAAAUACUUGACAAAAAAAGGAUGAGCCAAUCAUCGACUUCAUCAAUCGAUAGAGAAAUACGAGCCUAAAUUGCAAAGAUAGGCUCAGCAAAGCUUCUGCAAUAGAUAUGUGCAUCCAAGAAAUGCAUUGGUAGCUUCUCUAUAUCUUACAAGGCAUCAAACCAAAGUCCUUUAAAGAGUUAUCUACUCGUGAUCACGACAUGGAGUUGAGCAUGUCUUCUGCUGGAAAGAGAGGAACACCUAUCCCUGACCCUCAAAGGGGAAAGAAUAAGAAGAAACCCAAAAGAUGGGGCAAGUUUGUCCCCAAAAAUGACAAUAAGGAGUCCAUGAAUGUUGAUGUGUCUCCUGUGAAGGUCAUCACAAAGGUGAGCAAAAAGCAAAGUGUGAAGACGACCUCUGUAGCACGUCCAAAUCAGAAAACUUUAAAGGAGAUACAAGAAAAGAAAUAUCCCUUCCUUGAUUUUAAUGUUGACGAGAAUUUUAAUGAACUCCCUAAUGAAGAUGCAAUGGCUUUGGAAGUUAUAUCCCCAUGGAAGAUGUACUUUGAUGGUGCUAUACAUCGAGAUAGAACUGGUACUGGCGUAGUGUUUGUCACUCCACAAGAAGGGGUCAUCCCCUACUUUUUUACCUUGACGAAUCGUUGCUUCAAUAAUGUUGCUAAGUAUUAAGUGCUCAUACUCGGACUAGAUAUGGUUAUUGACAUGAAGCAACUAUAAUUACAAGUUUUUAGUGACUCUCAAUUGGUGAUAAAGCCGUUGUUGGGAAGCUAUGAAGUUUGAAAACCUGAGUUAAGACCAUAUCAUGAUCAUGCACAAAAGUUGAUGGGAUGGCUUAGAGAAGUAACCCUCUAACAUAUGCCAAGGAAAGAAAAUAAGCAAGCUGAUGCCCUAACUAUUUUGGCUUCAACUCUAACUUUUCCGAAUCAGACACGAGUUACUCUUUGCCAAGAAUGGGUAGUACCGCUAUCACAUGAAGAUGAAGACGUAAAAAGUAAGGUUGAAUACCUCGUCGCCAUGUUCGAAGCUAUAAAGGAGGAUUGGCGAAAACCUAUCAUUGACUACUUGUGUUAUGGGAUACUUCCAGAAGAUCCAAGGAGAAAGACUGACAUUCGUCGUCGUACACCUCACUUUCUUUAUUACAAAGACACACUGUAGCAAAGAUUAUUUGAAGGAGUACUCUUAAGGUGUUUGUGAUACGAGAAUAAUAACCACCUUAGCUUUUGACGACAUCAUUCAAAGUCACUAUGUGAAGAAUCAAGCUUUAGUCGCAUGGAGGGCACAGGAUCAUACUUGGAGGGGACAUUUUGAGCCUACCAUUAAUUAAACUCGAGUGUGAAAGAUUGCUUGGAGACUUGAAGACUUAAGUACUCUCAGGUUUGGACCACCUUAUUGGUUCACGAUUUUGGUUUCCUUGAUUGAAGGGCAUUUUGGUCUCUUAUCUUUGUCCAAGUGACACUCCAUGACCAUCCUUCCUCAUUAAGGGCAUUAGAGUCAUUUUGUAUUUAUUUUGUAAUAGAUUAUAAAUAGGCUCCUUUAGUCUUAUUUUUAUUAGUUUAUGAAAGAUGAAAUAUUGAAACAUCAAAAAUCCUCUCUCUUGAGAGUAGAACACUUAGUCUUAGUUAGGGCUUGAAAAAACUAGUAUUAAUCUUUGCUUGGAAACGGUAGAUCUUGAGGUGAGAUGAUUCCCUUGGCGAUCACCAUAAGAGUGUGAUUUUGAUUAUUACAUUCAUUAGGGGAUUUUGAGUUUAAUACACUUUUUAGUUCUUAAUCUUGUAAUAAUCUUGGUCUCACUAUCUAUCAUUUACUUUUAUUAUUGUCAUCUUGUGUAGUGGACUAUUUUGGGUCCUUUAUUGAAUUUGAAACUUGUGUUAUUGUUAUUCAUCUUGUUCCUCACGUUUUGUAGCUGUUUGUGGUGUUAUAUACACCAUUGUAUCUUGUAUUUUUCUUGUUGAUAGCGAAUCCGAGAGUGUUCUACAUCUUGGUCCUCGGAUCCUUAAGAUUGCGGACUGACUUGGAGUGUGUUUCGUGCUUCCAUUUUCUUUCUCGUAUCAUCGUGUUCCUACAAGAUCAAUCUUGGGGUUGCUUGUUAGAAAAUUCAAAAAAAGUGUUAAAAAUUGAAAAUUCUAGAAAAAUAGCAAUCUGUCUGUGUUUGUGUUCUUGGCCAAAAUUGUGUUCUUGUUGUGUCUUGGCCGAGAUUUGUUUGUUGUGUGACUAGAUCUAGUAGUGUUCUUAUUUUUUUUUUUGUUUCUAGUGUUAGUUUUCUUGUCCACUAACACUUUGAGUCUAGAUCUAAACUUGAGCUUGAACUUGUUGAAAGUUGUUGUUGUGAACAUAAACUUGGCCCAUUGUUGUUGUUCUUGUUGUUAUGGGUUUAAAGUUUGCAGUGUAGACGUUGUUGUAAUUCUUGGUGAAUGUUGUGUUGUUAUUGAAGUUCUUCACAACCUUCAUCUCUUGUUAAAAUCGAGGACACAACACUAAAGAGACUUGGUCGUUUGUUGUUGUGGAUUGGAGUUGGCCGUUGGUAUUGUUGUUGUUCUAGAAAAUUGUUGUUAUUGUUGUUGGUGUGGUUGUUGUUGUUAUUGAAGUUCUUCACCUUCCUUCAUAUAUUGUUAGAAUAUAAAGUGAAUGCUAGAUCCUAAAAGGUGAAGGAAAAAGGUGUACGUACUUGUUAGUCUUGAAAGACCCCCAACCACCAAAAGACAUAUCACUUCUCAACCAUUUUUCCAUGAUUUGACCCAUGUUUUAAGGAGAAGUACAAGAAAAAUUCAAGUGUUGAAAAUUGAAAAAGGCUCCAAGACUUAUUUUUCCUCCUAAACAAAUUCUACCAAUCCAAAUUAAUUUUUUACCAAGACUUGAACAUUUGAGAAUAACCACUUGAUAAAACCAAACCAAUACGUGGUUGCCACAUCAUCAUUGCUACUGUUCACGCAAUAUUAUUGAGCUCAAAAUUUUAUAUUCUUAGUUUUAUUUUAUUGUUUCAUUAGUUUCAUGUCUUGAUUCUAGAAUUAAUUAACAACUAGUAAUAACCUACUUAGUUGUAGAUUUAUUAUUGAAUCUGUUUCUUUCGUGUCUUCGUUAUUUGUGUGCUUUUCUCUUUUUUUAACAUGUAGUAACUUCUUUGUUUCAAGUUCAUAAGUAAAAUUUUUUUUUAGUCUUGAGUCGAUCAAACAAGAAGCUAUUCCGGCCGCCAAGUAGAAUUGACAUCUUAUUAACUACUGGAGUAUAAGCAACUUUCAAUAUUCGUCGCUCCAAUUGUGAGGAUCAUAAUUUGAGUGAAUAGGAGUGUUGGUGAGGAGCUUUUACUACUAAUUUUGUUUGUUCAUUGUGUAGGAACAAAGAUGAUAUAAGGGGAACAUGUCUUCGGUAGCGGGGAUUAUUGUGACUACAACAUGGGAGACUAUGGUUGUAGUGAAGGGUUUUAUGGCUACGAAGUUGAGGGAGAUUGUGGAGGCUAUGAAAAUAGCCAUGAUCAAAACUUGGGCAGAUUUGAAAGUUACUAUUUUGAGGGAGAAAAUAGGGUGAAUGAAGUGCCUAGUGCUUAUGGUGACUUUGGAGAUGAUGUAGGACCUCGUGAUGGAUCUUAUGAUAACGUUAGGGCAUGUGAGGAGUCUUACACUUCUUACUUCAAAUGUAGAUUUGGUGUUAGGUAUAACCCUUUCAUUCGCAAAGUUUAUAAGAGCUAUGAUGAGAGUACACGUGAGGAGUGUAAAGAUUCAUAUUCUCCACCUUGUAGUACUUCUUAUCAAGAUCGAUAUAGUGUGAAUGGUUAUACUAGCUCUAGUGGAGGUUGUUCAACGAGAAGAAGAGGGUAUGCAUCUCUAAAACCGAGGGGUGCUCGUAUCCUUUACAAUAUUGAUCCAAGAAGGAGUGUACACUUCGGAAAGGUGACCAUUUGUGGGAAACCGGGCUUCCUCAUUGUGUAAAUGAUAGGUACUAUAGAAAAUACAUCGUUCCAUCCAUGGUUGACUACUUGGGGUUAUUUUGCGAGCCUUUACUUGUUCUAUACUUCUUGGAUAGAUUUAAGGUUAUCGAGAGGGUCAAAGUUAUCUUCUCCCAAUUUGAGUACCAUAAGAAGGUGUGAUGUGAUAUUCUUCCAUUUACAUAUGGUCAUGUAUGCUUAGGUGCCGAUUGGUUUGCACAACAUAGAGUUCCAAAUGUGCAAAAUUAGCCUAAUGAUGUAAGAGAUCAAUGGGGAAAUCACCUCAUGACAUACAUGCUGUCUGAGCUGCAAAGAGAUGUGAAUACUUACUCGAAUCCGAAUACUUAUGAGGUACAAAAUAUUGAGAGGAUUAAGGCUGUUCAAGGUGGUAAUUCGAGAGUGGGAGCGAAGCGAGGGGAUUGGCACCAAACCAAGCUAACAUUGUUUGUUCUUCUAUUUCUAAGGACGUUUGUGUAGGUACCGACAUGAAAAGUGAUGGAGAGAAAUGUCAAAGUGAAGUUGCUGCCUAAGCUUAUGGAGGACCUUCAUAAUACGAAGAAGGAGAGUCGACUCAAGAACUUCAUGGUAAAAUAGCUAACUAUUACACUUUUAUGCAUGUGAAUGAAAAUUGUGUGGCUAGUAGCCCCUUGAGUGUGAGUAGUAGCUUACUUACUUGUGAGUUUAAUAAAUCUUUGCUUUUUGUUAAUGAUGUACAUGUUAUGAGUGUGGAUACACUAGUUGAUCCUAUUGAUGACCAAAUUGACUCUUCUUGUAAGAUCGAUUUAUGUCCACCUAGUGUUGAAGCCUAUAUAUUGAACGAAAGUACAUCGUCUUGUGUAAUUGGUGUUGAUCAACCUAGUUAUGAAAAUUGUCCACCACUUGAGUAUGCGUGUGAUGUGAUUAAUCAAAAUCAAGUGAGCGAAGUAUUUGAAAAAGUUGGUCAACAAAAGGGGAGUGAAACCGAGAGCUACUCUUGGGAUAAUCUUGUACUUGAAAUCUCUUUAAAAAGUAAUAUUGAGCUUUUAGAGAGUGCUGAAUGUGUUUGUUCCGAAUCUUCCCAUGAAAUAGAUUAUGCUCUCUUUAGGUAUAAUGUCUUAUUUGAAGAUGAUAUAAACACUCUUAAUGAGCCUAGUGGUGGAAAUGAAGGUAUAGCUUGCCUUGGAAGAUAUAGCCGAUAUGCUAACCCACUAUGGUGUGACAAUAUUUCUCCUAAAGAUGGAAAUCUUUUUUUUGAAAGAUGAGAGUACUCGUAUAGGUAAGAAAUGUGUAGUCCUUCUUGAAAACCUGAGGGCAAAGGUGUCAUUGACUCCUUGGAGUAAUGUUCCUUAAUGUGCUUCCUUGUUUGACAAACUUGUCCCUAAAUUGCAUGAAUUCCAACUUGUAGAUGCCAAGUUGUCUAGUUUUUUGAAGGAAAGAAUGUGUAUGUGUUUAAAUACUUAUUCUUCACCCGUGAAUUCCUUUGCAUGUGAUUCUUUCCUAUACUACCUCUUUGCCUAUGAUGAUGUCCAUGCUAGUUUUGGAUUUGUUUUAUGUCGAGGUAGGAAGUUUGUUGGUCUGUCCAUGUGUGUAUGAUAAUGCUAUAUAGAUUUUAUGGACUUUAGAACCAAUCGAAACACCCCCUUUGGUGUGGUUUUUUGAUGAGAUAAAGAAGCAAGGGUGUCUUAUGGCUCAUAAGAUGAAGUAAGUUCUACCUUGUGGAUUAUUUGAUGCCAAUAGGACCUAUGUAGUUUCUUUAUCUCUUGGUGAUUCCCAUAACCAAAUCCUUUGUGCACCUUUUAUUGAGCUUUUAAUAUUUAAUUCAAAGAAUCCUUGGAUAUAUUACAAAUAUGUUCAACCUUGGCAUGUUGAGAUGAUUUAUUGUGCUAACCCUAACCCUCAUGCCAUGAGGAGUUUGUAUUUAUUUGUCCUCUCUUUAUUUUUGCAAGGUUUGGAUUUGAGGUUGAAUUCUUUUCAAGAAGGGAAGGAUGAUACGAGAAUAAUAGCCACUUUAGCUUUCGAUGACAUCAUUCAAAGUCACUAUGUAAAGAAUCAAGCUUUGGUCGCAUGGAGGGCACAUGAUCAUACUUGGAGGGGGCGUUUUGAGCCUACCAUUAAUCAAAUCUGAGUGUGAAGAUUGCUUGGAGACUUGAAGACUUAAUUACUCUUGGGUUUGGACCACUUUGUUGGUUCACCGUUUUGAUUCCUUGAUUGAAGGGCAUUUUGGUCACUUAUCUUUGUCCAAGUGAUACUCCAUGACCAUCCCUCCUCAUUAAGGGCAUUGGAAUCAUUUUGUGUUCAUUUUGUAAUUGAUUAUAAAUAGGCUCUUUUAGUCUUAUUUUCAUUAGUUUAUGAAAGAUAAAAGAUUGAAAUAUUAAAAAUCCUCUCUCUUGAGAGUAGAACACUUAGUCUUAGUUAGGGCUUGGAAAAGCUAGUAUUGAUCUUUGCUUGGAAGCGAUGGAUCUUGAGGUGAGUUGAUUCCCUUGGCGAUCACCGUAAUAGUGUGGUUUUGAUUAUUACAUUCAUUAGGGGUUUUUGAGUUUAAUACACUCUUUAGUUCUUAAUCUUGUAAUAAUCUUGGUUUCACUAUCUAUCCUUUACUUUUAUUGUUGUCAUCUUGUGUAGUGGACUAUUUUGGGUCUUUUAUUGAAUCUGAAACUUGUGUUAUUGUUAUUCAUCUUGUUCCUCAUAUUUUGUUGCUGUUUUGGUGUUAUAUACACCAUUGUAUAUUGUAUUCUUCUUGUUGAUAGCGAAUCCGAGAGUUGUCUCCAUCUUGGUCCUUGGAUCCUUAAGAUUGCGGAUUGAUUUAGAGUGUGUUUCAUGCUUCCGCUGUCUUUCUCGUAUCAGUUUGGGAGAGAAAGAAGCAAUUCAAGCUUUGCAACAAGUGCACUCGGGAGUUUGUGGAUCACAUCAGUCUGGACCCAAGCUCAAUUUUCACAUUAAGAGGAUAGGAUAUGAUUGGCCAACGAUGGUGAAAGAUUGCUUGGACUAUGCUAGAAGAUGCAAAGCUUGCCGAUUCCAUGCAAAUUUCAUAUAUCAACCUCCAGAGGUACUACACCUAACUGUAGCAUCUUAGCUAUUCAAUGCAUGGGGAAUGGAUGUUGUUGGUCCAUUACCAAAAUCUUCUGGUGGACACUUAUACAUGUUGGCCGCGAUAGAUUACUUCUCAAAAUUUGUUGAAACUGUUUCUCUCAAGGAAGUAAAGAAACAAAAUGUCGCAAACUUUAUACGAGUGAAUAUCAUCUACCGCUUUGGAAUUCCUCAGUACAUAAUAACUGGCAAUGAAAAUCCAUUUGAUAACAAGUUAAUGAAUAAAAUCUGUAAUCUUUUUGGUUUCAAGCAGCGCAAGUCUUCUAUGUACUAUGAUGCCGCCAAUGGUCUAGUGGAAGCAUUCAAUAAGACUUUAUGCAACUUGCUGAAGAAAGUCAUCUCCAAAUCAAAUGAGACUGGCAUAAGCAAAUAGAAGAAGUUUUAUGGGCAUAUAGGACAACUUAUCGUACACCGACGUAAGCAACCCCAUACUCACUUGCUUUUGGAGUUGAAGCAGUCCUGCCACUUGAGCGUAAAAUACCUUCUUUGAGACUGGUUGUUCAAGAAGGGUUCACCGAUGAAGAAAAUGCUAAGUUGCGUCUUACAGAGUUAGAAGCUCUUGAUGAAAAGAUGCUGGAGGCUCAACAAAAUCUUGAAUGUUAUCAAUCCCGGCUUUCUCAUUCUUUCAACAAAAAGGUUCGCUUGAGGUGUUUCUAAGUUGGAGAUCAAGUCCUUACAGUAAGAAGACCCAUUAUCACUUCUAUAAGUCUGGGGGCAAAUUCACUCUGAAGUAGAAUGGACCAUACGUCGUACAAGAGACAUAUUCAAAUGGUGCUUACAAGCUUGUUGAUGCAGAUGGCGUGAGGAUUGGUCCCAUCAAUGCCAAGUCUUGAAGAAAUACUAUCCUUGAAGGAAGAUGACAAUCCUUAAGGCAUUAAACCACAUUGAGAUUUUUGUUUUGAGAAUUUAUGUGCUACAUGCACCCAUGUUUAGACUAUAAGGGUCAUUAACCCACAUUGAGAUUGUUGUUUUAAAAAUUUAUGUGCUACAUGCACCCAUGUUUAGACUAUUUUUGAUGCAGUAUAGAAAGAUUUGACCUUUUGGUCACAACAAAGUUAAAAUCCACUUUAUGAAAUGAGUUCCGAAUUUUAUCAUUUAUUUAACUUAAGAAAUAUGAGAUUACCCUUAAAGUGGAUUUUUCUUGAGAUUUUUUAGCAUAGUAUUGGGAGUAGUAUUUAGCACCGAGUUGGGUAUGUUACUGCGAUUUCAUACCCUAGAACUAUAUGCCACCGUAGGUUGAGACAUUGACUUCCACUAUAUGUGGAAAAUUGAGAUAGUGAUCACUGAGAUGAGAUUAUUCUACACCGAUUGCAAGAUUAGGACAGCCCUAACCUUAUGGGGGAAAGUCGUGGGACAUCAUGGGUGCUCACAUGGUGUACAUGUCGGUUAGAAGAACCUCCCAAAGAGUCGUCUCUCAUUCUUAGAUUGAUUUUACUGAUUUAAAAGAGAUAAGAAAUGGAGAUUUAUGAUGUAUUCAAUAUUCCAGAUUUUACUAAGAUUGCGUGAUGAGAAAAUAAGAAAAGAAUCUUGAUAUUUGGAUUAAGUGUAAUGGCUCAUGAUAUCCAGAUUGGCAUGUUUUACCAUUCAUUGUGUAUGAUAGAUUUUAGAAGAUUUCUUUCAANNNNNNNNNNNNNNNNNNNNNNNNNNNNNNNNNNNNNNNNNNNNNNNNNNNNNNNNNNNNNNNUAUAUAUAUAUAUAUAUAUGCAUAUAAAUAUGUUUAUUUCAUGCACCCCUAUGUACUCGGUACAUAUUCCAUGGUACUGACCCACAUGUUCGCAUGUGGGCUACAUUUUUCUUAUAAUGUAGGUUCAGGUGCUCAUUCUCAGGUUUGACCGUCAUUAUCCAAGAACGCUGAUCUACAUCCUCUGCAGUGGCAAGUCCUCAUGGUCCUAGGACUAGUUAUUCAAAUUUUCUCAUUUACUUUGAGUCGUUCAGUUUAUUUCCUGAGUUUGGGUCAGUUGGGGUUUGUCCCAAUGGCUCAUGGAUAUACAGUUUAGUAGAGGCUUAUCAAACUAGAUGAAUAGAUUUAUCAGAUUUAUCAGAGAUGUCGUAUUUUAUUACUUUCCAUAUUUCAUUCGUAUUGCAAUAUGAUAUUAUAGAGGAUGUUUAGAUGUUUUGAUUAUGAUGACUUUGAUUAUAAGUGUUGAAUGGUAGAAAAAUGAAUAAAAGGGUUAGCUUGGGGCUACUUGUAGCCUUAAGCACCGUGUGAUGCCUCGGGGCCCAUUUUUGGGGCGUUAUAAAGGGAUUUUAAGUUAUUGAUGAAAAAUAAAACUUUUAGUUGUAUUAUAUUCGAGAAUGGGUUUACAAUUUUGAGUUUUGAUGGUAAAAUCGUAGAAAGAACUUGAGAAAUUCCUAGUUUCCGUUGCAGUAUUCCGUUGACUAUCAUGUUGUGGUAUUAUUGGAUGGUGUUUGUGGUGGUGGUGGUGGUAUUUGUGGUCGUCGUGGUGGCACUGGUGGUGGCAUUGGUUGGUGGCGUUUGUGGUGGCUGUCGGUGGUGUCGUAUUCGUGGUGUUUGUUUGUUUGUUGGCAUUAGUUGGUGGUAUUUGUGGUGGUGGUUGUUGGUAUGUCGGUAUUCGUGGUAUUUGUAAUGUAUUUUUUAAAAUCUAUGCAUACAUCAAUAGUAAUGUAAUUUUUGUUUUUCUUUGUCUGUAGGUAAAACAUGUCUCUCAAAAGAAAAGAAAGUCAAAGUGGAUCAACGUCUGACCACUAAAUAAAAGGCUACAGUACAGAGGUAUUCAAAGGAGCUUCCUGAACAAUCUCAGUCAGGGAAAAGUGAAGCUGAGGAGAGAUGAAAACAACAUUGAAGGAGGUGGACAAGGGUCCGUAGAUGGUGAUAAAGAAAAUGAAAGUGAGAAAGAGAAGGAAUUGGAGAGUGAGAAAGAAAAAGAGGAUAAUUAUCAACAUGAUGAUAAUGGAUCACCGAGCAAAGAGCAACACCAAUAUUAAGGAAGCUGAUCUUUUUAACCCUCAAGAUGAUGCAAUACGUCUUCUUCAAGUAAAAUAAUUCUACUCAAAGAUAAGAAAGAUAUUGAACAAAUGUUAUAUCUGGUGCAACAGAUAUUAUAUCUGAUGCACCAGAUUGGACAUAUGUUGCAAUAGGGUAUAUCUUGCAUCAGAUUACCCAUCUGUUUCUUUAAUUCUCUGAAUCCGACUCUUAAAAGAUUUACCAUUUACUACAAAUUAUGCAACAGAUGUUUAAUCUGAUAACAUAUUGUUCAUCUAUUGCGACAUACAGAUCAUCUAUUGCAUAAUUGAUUACCCGUCCUGUACACCUGUUGCAACAUAUGAUUGAUAUUUUGCAUCAUAUUAUCCAUGUGUUGCUCUGUUUCUCUGAACCAGACUCAAAUGGAUUUUAACCAUAUACUGCAAACUAUGCAACAGAUGGGUGAUGACUUUUUAUAUUACUCUAGGUCAUGUUGAUACUAUUGCAGACCCAACGGUGGAGUUAAUAAAGAAGGAAUUGGCUGGAGCAACAACCCUAAGAAGAGCAGUUAGGCAAGGUCGGCCUAAUGUUGAGGCUCUUCAUGACCAACCUUUUACUAAGACAGAUUCGGGUGCUUCUUCUGGUGGAGUUGUUGGUGUUGGUGGCAGGCAUGCUGAUGCUACUACCACUCAUGAUGAUGAGCAUGUUGAUGCUCAAGAAAGAAUAAAUAUGUUUGAAAAUAUCCCUUUUUGCCCUUACACAGGUCCCUAUCACCCCUCUUCAGCCUCGUGUUCUCAUUAUAAAUGCGAUGAGUACAAGGACAGACAGGAUAAAAUCUUUGAAAAAAUAGAGACUAUCUCUAAAUCUAUCGAGAAAUUCAAAUCCAAGAGGUGUGUUAUACCAUCCAAGAAGGUGAGGGAGCCACACACUCAUACAACGUUGGUUAGGAGAAAAAAAAGAGCAAUUAGAGACGUACUCACCGCUCAAAAAUAAAAAAAUUGCAAUUUCUCCCUCUCCAAAAGCUGUUGAAGUUCAGGGUCCAGUCAAGAAGGUAGACAUAUACACUAAACUUGGUACCGAAGAGAAGAGGGAGCUGCGACAGGCCAAGCAUACCAAGCCAGGCGCGCCAGAUUACCCCAGACCUCCCUUUUCCCCCAAGACUUCCAGACUAUGACUGAUAUGCGUAUGCCGUAAGAGGAUAAGGCAAGUUUACUUUUCCUAACCUAGCCCUUCUAAUCUACCCCAUGAAUAAAAAGCUACGUAAUAGAUUUCACAUCUGUUGCAACAGUUGGGUAUACUGGUGCAACUGGUAGUGGUUCUGUUGCAACUUAUUAUCCAUCUAUUGUAUAAGUUUUGGAUUAUUGAUUCAGAGAACCCUAUGAAACAGAUGGACCAUCUGUUGUAUCUUUACAAUUACUAACCUAUUUAAAAAUUAACUUCUUAUCUCACAACAUGUUGACGUAAUUCUCUACCUCAUGAGGAAAAGGCAAUAAACUACAGGGAAGCUUAUAACGUUGCCGAUAGGAUAAUGGACCUCGACUUCUGCAAGAAGCUUAAGGAUAGGUACGAUCAAAUCAAUGAAGAGGCGUCAUCCCUUGGUGUGGGACUUGAUUUCCUAGUUCCUACGUUGGUCUUGGAUGAAGAAGAAACGUUAAGAUAUGUUAGAGGGGACAGGCUAAAUCCACACGGCAAGAGCUGGACCGAGGCAAAAAGGAUUCUUCCAGUCAUUAGCAUGAACGGCAUGCAUUAUAGGGCUAUUGAGAUACUACUCGAGGAGGAAAAGAUCAAUGUUUAUGACACCAACAUACCUCUCAUCGAUGAUUUCGAUCUUUUUCUCCUCGUGGAGCCACUGAUGGUGCUGUUGACCAUCUUGUUGAGAGAGAGUAAGCUGAUGAAUCGUUUUCCAAAGGAAGUGUUGAUGAAGAAAUCAUGGGAUUUUGAAGGUCAAAACAAGGGAAUGAUCCUUCCAAAAGAUGAUGCCGCUAAAGCAAACGGUUCACACGCUCUUGCACACAUCGAAUGUUUGCUGACCGACACAGAAAUGACCGAGCCAACAACUUUUCUGUGCGAUAAUAUUGUGGCAAACCUGCAAGAGGUCAGGUCUUAUGGGGUACUAACUGGACGCUUGAAGCCUGUGUAUAUAGAAGAGCCUGUGAAAUAGAAAUUUUUAAUUUCAAGUCACCCUUCACUUUAUUACAUGUACAUGUAGUGGCAACAAUUUUUUUGAUGAAAUUUGAGUUUUUUAUAUGCAAUGGAUUAGAUUGUCAAUCUGUUGUACAAUAUCUUUAAUCCGUUCUGGCAUAUAGUUUAUCUGUUGCAAUAGGUUGGUCAUCUGUUGCAUUACGGUGAUGUUAUUUCUAUGAAUAAUCUAAUAAUCUAAGUCUAAUCUGUUGCAACAGUGGAAAGACCUGUUUGAUAAUUUAUAACAGAUGAGCUAAAUUUUACAACAUAUGCCUAAAUCUUUUUGAUUUUUUCAGCAGUUACGCUUGAAUAUCCAUGUGCUCGACAACACCAAACCAGUAGCAAAUAUACACACCACCAUGAAAAUUUCAGCAAUUAGACUUAAAUAUCCAUGUGCCCAACAACACCAAACUAGUAGCAAUAAUGGCAAUAAUGUAGUAUCUUCUUGUUCAAUUUUGCUUCUCUUCAAAAGCCUUGAAUUUGUUCAACAAACCCCAGAUUAUACGAUUUGCUUGUGAAGGCUGUCAUUCUUCAUACCAAUCAAAUUAAUCACAUCCAUCCAAUUUCUAUAAAAAAGUGAACAUAAUUACAAAAUAAUUAAUCAAUUAAUUAAAUAAAAAAAUAUUACCUUUGAAAUCUUACAAGUAAAAAACCUAUGAUCCGAAUUUUGUUGAGUCCAAGAAGUCUUUAAUAGAGCUUCAUGUCCGCACUUACAAUAUCAAAAAUCUUUAUCACAAAAAACAGUGGAAGAUGCUCUCGACAUUGUCAAGCUCAGUUGAAAAAAAGGAAAGAAAUAAUUUGAAUAGAUAAACGAAGAUGAAGAUGAAGAAGAAGAUUUGAAAAUUUAGGGUUAAAUUUUUGGAGGAAGAUGAAUAUAUAAGACAAUGGGGGAAAAAAAUGACCAUUGGGGGCCAAGUGACGGAAAGUCAGCGAAAUGUACCAGACUGACACUAACACAUUUGAUGUCUAUUUUAUUUUACAUAUUUAAAAUGAACACUGUCUACUAGAUGCCUAUCUUAUUUUAGGUGUUUGAACUGAACAUCAUUGAUGGGUUGCGCCUUUUUUAUUUCAAUUCAAUUCACUUUAACCUUUUUACACGUAGUGAUAAUUUUUUAUGUCCAACGAAAGUUGAAUUUUUAUAAUGCAAUAGAUUCUCCAUCCGUUGUAACAGUUAUCCUACCUGUUCUGACAUAUAGUUUAUCUGUUGUAAUAGGUUGGCCAUCUGUUGCAUUAUCUCGAUUUUUAUCUAAAGUCCAUCUAUUGCAAUAGUGGGAAGACCUGUUUGAUAAAUUCCACCAGAUCAACUACCUGUUGCAAUAUAUGUCUAAAUCUGUUUGAUUUUUCCAAUAGAUGUGUCUUCUAUUGCAACAAAUACAUUAUCUGUUGCAAUAUUUGAAUCUAGUGCUCCUUUUCAAUUAAUAAGUUCAAAUCUAAGAAAUAAAUAAAAUUUGUAGACAAAAUAAAAUAAAUCAAAGCCUUCAUAAAUUAGCUGAAAUAAGUCGACGAAUAAAUGAAAUGUAAAAAAAUUAUUAUGGGUAUAGAUCUCAAUAAAUACAUCAACAACAAUUUAAGUAUAAUGUCAAGGAUUGCUUUGAAUUGACAAGCUCAAGCUAUAAGGAUCUACUCAGUAUGGACAAGUUGUUCUUCAUUCGGUGCUAUGGAAUUCGACUUUGCUCGUCGUGUAUUUUUAUUGUUGCUUAUGUACGGUUUCUGCACUUUCUGUUCUCCGCAUUUCCAUAAAAAGAGUAGCAUAUUAUCAAUGUUGUUCAGUAGUAGCUUCUUCUAUAUUCACCUGGAAAGCCAGAAUUGGUCAAUGCUAAUCACGGAGAUACAACAAAAUGAAAAAGGAUAACUCAUCUCUUCUAGUAAAUCAAACAGGUCUUUCUCCCAUUUUAAAUUAUCCCAAACAGAUUAUAUUUCUGUUGCAACAAUGAAUCAACUGUUGGGAUAAAUUUUUACAUGAGAAAGAUCCUGUGUGAUAAUUUCCAAUGGAUGAACCAUCCAUUACAACAUAUAAAUCAUCUAUAGUAGCAUAUAGGUCAUCUGUUGGUACAAAUAAAAGCGGUAUGAAGAACUGUUUGAUUUUCUAAACAGAAGAGACAUAUGUUACACCAGAUAAAGUAUCUUGUGUAACAGGUUAGUCAACUGUUGCAACAGAUGUAUAUAUCUGUUUGAUAAUUUUUAGCAGAUAUGUCAUCUAUUGAAACAGAUAUGUGUCUGUUUGUUUUGUCAGUUGGAAGACAUAUAACAUACUCACCUUCUUCAGCUCGUGCUGCUCUCCUUUGGAUAUUGUACGUUACUUAGUGCAACACACAGACAGAGUAGUUAUAAUUUUGCUUUUUUGGAUGCUUGAUAAUACCCUGGAAAUCACUCUCCUUCUCUCUUAGCCCUAAUCUCUAAUGGAGCGGAUGGAAAUAAAAUCCUCUUUGAUAGAAUGAGACCUCUCUUAGAUGUCAAUUCCUUUAUAGAAGUAGUUAAUGCAUUAAUAGCAUUAAUCACUACAUCAUGUUUCGCCCUCCAGUCUUGACAUUUGCAUGCAGAACAUUCGCUGGGAGAGGCAAAAUCUGUAUAACCAGUAUGAUCAUACUCAUAAUGAUUUGCUUUAAAUACUGUAAGAGGAGCAUCAUUAGCACCAACAGCAGCACCACUACCACCACCAACAACUCCAUCACCACUAAGACCAUCAACAACAACAACAAGCCCACCUUUUAAAAUUAUUUUUCUUAUAAUGGCUGUUGCUCCAAAUAAUUCUAUUUUUAUUCUGUCGAUGAUCUUAGGGUUCGAUAAGUUUGUACAGACCGUAAAGUAAGAAAAAAUAGCAUAUUCAACUCUCGAUUGGUUGGAACUAGCGACGGAUGCACAAUCUAACAUAAAUCAUGACAUAUAUUAGAAUGAUGAUUAGAUCAAUCAAAAUAAAUCAUUAAUUAAAAGAAAAAAUUAAUUAUAAUUAUAUUUACUGCAUUCUUCGAGGGGUUGAAGAGAUCAAGAAAUUUUGCACUUUUAUCAGUUUUGGCUGACAACCAUCUCAAGAUUCUUGGACAGGAAACUCCUUCCUGGUAGUUCACUUGUUGUCUUAAUAAGGAAUGGCUUCAAACGCCCAAGCAUAUAAAAUAAUGCCAAUAAAUCAAAACCAUUAUUGAGCCAAAAAAAUGAAUGAUAUCAUAAUAGAAGAAAGAAACAUUUACCAUGAAGUCCAUGGAAAAUCAUAUAAGUUGACUGUCUUUGGCGCUAACGAAGUCAACAAAUAUUUGACAGUCAUUUUGAAGCUUUCAUACCCCCAAGGAUAGCUGUUAAACGCCUUAAGAUCCUCGGAGAGCUUUAUUAAACCGAGGCUUAUGUUGUUGUUAACGUCUCUCGCCCAAAGAAUAUUAUGUACAAACCAAACCAAGCACAAUGAUUGCUUGUGCUUCUUUGAAAGUCCUUUACCUUUCAACGCUUCUAUCAAAUUUUUAUUUUUGAAGCUUGGACCAACAAUGGACACCAGGUUAUAACGAUCACACGACUUGCCUUUGCCUUUUUGGGGUGUGCGGGGUGCUUUUUUAGGUUAGAAUAGGUAUAACUUGAGAAGGAGGAUAAUAUUUUAGUCCAGUAACUAUGGCAAACUCUUUCCAACUAAAAUAAAUAGGCAUGCCACAGUAAUUUAUCCACACCUCAUCUAUCUUAUCUUUAUUUUCAUAGAUAAACCUAUGCUUGAGAAGUUCAUAUACCAUUUUCAUUUAGAAACAAGCAUUGUUGUCCUCUGGCAAAUCAAGAUAUUUCUCAAAGUAGCUGUGCCUGAAAUAAGCAUCUAAUUUUUAUUCUCAAAGUAUUUUUCUAAAGGCGUUGAAAGAUUUUCCCAUGAAUAACUUCCACGAAAUUACCCGUUAAAUCUGCGGCAUCAUCACACUGCAUUCUCACAGGAUAAUGAUCAAUGUUGAAGGCUUUGACCAGCUCUUCGAUGGAAGGGCUAUUAUCAUCUGCAUCAUCUCUUCUAAAAUAUUUCUCCUCCCCAUGUUCAUCAUAUUCUGCUCUCGAUUGAGAUAACGCUUGUAAAGCAAGCUCAUAGAGUGGUGGAUGUAGCCUAGCUGUUUCACUUGUUCCUUUACUUGGACUUGAUUCGAUUUCUGUUCUUUUGGGAAUCAUAUUAUCUAAAAUUAACAGGAACAUAAAAUAAUAUAUUAUUGUUGAUUAAUGCAUCAUUAAAAAAGGAUAACAGUAAAUCAAACAAGCAAAAUAGUAAAAUGACAGCUUUAACAGAUUAUCGAUCUAUUGCACUAGGUAGUAUAUCUGUUGCAGCAUAUAACCAAACUGUUGCAACGGAUGAGUAAUCUGUUACAACAAUAAAAACAUAUCACUCAUAUUUUAAGACAGAUGAAUGGUCUGUUCAACAGAUCACACAACUGUUGUGACAUCAUCUGUUGUAAUAAAUGAGUGAUCUGUUGGAAUAGUUAAAUAAUCCAUAGCAACGGCUGAGUAAUCUAUUGCGAUAAUACAAACAUAUCAUUCAUCUGUUCAGAAAGAUGAAUGGUUUAUGCAACAGAUCACACAUCUGUUGCAACAUAUGAAUGAUCUGUCAGAGCAGUUAACUAACCUGUAGCAAUGACUGAGUAAUCUGUUGCGACAAUACAAAACAUAUCACUCAUUUGUUGAGAAAGAUGAAUGGUCUGUGUAACAGGUCACACAUCUGUUGCAACACAUGAGUGAUCUGUUGGAACAGUUAUCAACAGUCAAUAUUGCUUAGUUUUCUUCCAACAUAGGGUCGUCUAUCAUGGCAGAUGAAUGAUCAGUUGAAAAAAUCAAGUCUUGGACAUUUCCUGUAGGAAGAGUUGAUAGGAUUUUAUCCAACAGAAGGUUCAUCUAUUGCAUCAGAUUAUUAAUCUGAUGGUUCUUCCAUUGCACCAGAUGAUUAAUUAGUUGCAUCAGAUUUUUUAUCCUAUGCUUAAUUUUUUGCAAUAUAUGGUAAAGCUCUUGCAUCAGAUAGUUAAUAUGUUGCAUCAGAUUAUUAAUCUGUUGCAUCAGAAUUAUAAUUUGAUUAUUCCUCGGUGCAUCAAAUGGUUGAUCUGUUGCAUCAUAUGAUAAAUCUGUUGCACCAGAUGUUUAAUAUGUUGCACCAAAUGAGUAAUCUGUCGGAGGAAAUAAAAAACAGUAGCACGAUUUUGUUCAACAAAAAAUAUCAAUUUCACCAUUUUUACUAAGAACAAGAACAGAACAAAUCAAACCAAAUUGUCGUUUUAUCUUAAUAAACACAAACAAUAAAAAUCAAACUUCAAAAAAAUGCAACAAACAACAAAAUAUCAUAAUUCUCUUCGAAAAGAAAAGAGAAGAAAUACUAGAAAUUAGAGUUUUAUUCAGACCGCAUUUCAAAUUAGUGCAACAAAUAUUAAAAUUGUUAACCAAUACUAUAAGAGAAGUUGGCUCAAGUUCCUUGUUUUCUUCAAAACUAAAAAGGCCAUAAAUUUUUACCUGUGAAAGAAGAAAAGGAACGAUGAAGAAUUCGAAGCUGUUGUGGCCGGAGAGCAAGUCUGUCACGUCGAUUGAAGGUUGAAGUCGAAAAGGAACUCGAAGCCCAACUAUUUGUAGUCGGAUGUUAAAGUCGCCGAGGAUUGAAAUGAGAAAUUUGCAGAACAGUUGGUUGGGAAAGAAUUGAGAGAAGCUGCCAAGAGAGGAAUGAAAGACAGGUUGAUUGAAUAGAAGAGAGGAACUCGAAGCCCAACUAUUUAUUGUCGGAGGUAGAAGUCGUCGGGGGUUGAAGGGAGAAAUUUUGCAAAACUGUUGGUUGGGAGAGAGUUGAGAGAAGCUGUCGAGAGAGAGGGGAGAGUGGUUGAUUUGGAUUGAAGAGGGGAGUUGGGUUGAUUUGUAUUUUUGAAAAGAUUAGAAAUUUUUAAAAAUAUUAAUCAAGUCCACAAUUAACUUAAUUAAGUUUCCUAAUGAUGUUUGACCCUAUCUGUUGGUCAAUGUCACCAAUCCUUCAUUCAAGACUUAAAAGACACUUUUCCUUCAAUUUUCUCCACUUACUCUAUCUCAAAUGUCCAUUUUCUUUCUAAUUUUAAAAAGUGUUUUUUCUUUUUUGCUUUGCUAUUUAAAAAAGAAAAAAAAACUUUUUAGUUGUUUUUUAUUUAAAUUUUUUUUAUUUUCUAAUAGUUUCACUUCUUUAGUGAAAGAAAAAUAUUUAUGUUGUUUUAUUUUUUUAAUUUAUAUUUUUAUUUAUUAAGGUGGGAACGUAUUAUAAUCAAAUAAGUAUCAAUAUCGAUACAUUACAUAAUUAUUUAUAUAACAUCGAUACACAAUUAUACACCAUUUGUAUAAUGUACCUAUUUAUGCAACAUCGAUAUAAGUUUAUACAUGCAUGUUUAUACAUACAUGUUUAUAUAGUAAUUAUACAAUAUUUAUACAGGUUUAUACAUCAUUUAAACAGAGUAGAUAUUACAUAACUAUUUGUACAUCGUCGACACUUGUUUACACACAUUUAUAUAAUAUUGAUAUAUUAAAUAUAUGCUACAUAACUAUUUGUACAUCAUAUAUACAUGUUUAUACAUCAUGUAUACAAUAUUGUUACACGUUUAUACUAUUAUACAAUAUCGAUACACUACAUAUAAACUAUGUUAACUAUUUAUAUAAUAUUGAUAUAUUAUAUAUUAACUACAUUAACAAUUUAUACAAUAUCAAUACACUACAUAUAUAGUACAUAACGAUUAGUACAUUAUAUAUACAUAUUUAUACACCAUUUAUAUAAUAUUAAUACAUGAAAAAAUUGCAUGAAAAGCCCUUUUAAAAGAAAAGUGAAAAAGUUUUCCUUUCAAUGAAAAAAAUGAAGCAAAAAAAGUAACAAAAAAAUUAUUUUUUUCUUUUUUUAAUUUACUGCUGAAAAUAAUAGAAAAAGGAUGAAAAUGGUCUAAUGGCCAUUUUAAGUAAUAUACAAAACUUGGUUAUAUUUAUUGUAAAUUUUUUAUUUUUUAAAUAUAAAUGAAAUUUUUUCUUUAAAUAUGUACGCAGAUAUAUAACUUAUUAAAUUUAAUGAAAUAAACUUAAUCAAAUAUUUUUAAAUUUUACAAAGCUAAUAUUAUGUUCAUACGUUUUUAAAAGAUUUUUAAAAAUUCGCCAGCUUCAUCAAGUUCUCGUGCAAAUUCAAUAUUUUCCAUGAAAGGUUUGAUAUACUAUUGCACAAGAGUUGUUACAUAUACUUUUAUAAACAAGAACUAGUAGAACUAUCCGUUCUUUGCGCGGUUAAAAAUAUCUUAUUCAAUUCAUGAAAUGAUCCUCUUUAAAAUAUUUGAGCACUUGUAAUAUAACUAGAGGAACAUGGCCCGUGUAGUACAGGCCUAACAUUAAGAUAUUUAUUUCUCUUUUCAAUCUUGAUAUAUUUAAAUAAAAUUUUUUAAUAACAGGAUUGCAUAUGUUUUCUAGGAUUCAUCCGGAAUCUAGCAUUAAUUCAACAUAUCUUAUUUUAAUAUUAUUUAGAUAAUUUAAGUUGUUAAAUAUUGUAAUUUAUAAUAUUUUUUAUGUAAUUUUCAAAUUAAUAUACGUUACUUUUCUUGUCCAAAUUUUGCAGCAUUGAUAGACAAUUAUAUUUUAAAAAUAAUUUAAGUUUUUAAUUAUUUUGAUUUAUGAUACUUUCUUCUAUUUCAAUUUUAGUGACACUAAUAUAAUUUCAAGAGUCGACCAAAUAUUUUAUAUCUUUCAAAAAUUUUAAAUUGUUAAUUAUUGUGAUUUCUAGUAUUUUUCAUGUGAAACAUAUAACAUAUUAAAUUAUUUUUAGAUAUUUUAAGUUGUAAACUAUUAUAAUUUAUAAUACUUUUUAUGUAAUUUUUGAAUAAUAUAUUUUACUCUCCUUGUCCAGAGUUUUGUGUCAAUGAUAGCCAAUUAUAUUUUUUAAAUAAUUUAAAUUUUUUAUCAUUGUGAUUUGUAAUAUUUUUUCUAUUUCAACUUAUGUGGCACAAUGCUUAAAUGACCAUAAUAAUUAAUUAGGAGUGAUAUAAUAAAAUAUAAUUAUUAUUAUUUAUUAUUUAUUACUUUUAUUAUGUGUAUGUGUUGAUUCAAGUAGAAUUUGGAAACAUUUAGAAAUAUGUUGAAUGUUACAAAUGUUAAUAAUCCAUUUGGUGCUUCUUGAUUUCUCUACAUUUAUUUCUUGUGUGUUUUUACUCUUUUGUUCUUUGAGUAAAUGUAGUAAUUUUUUUAAAAAUAUCAUGAAAUUUUUUAUUAUUAGUUUUUCAAUACAAAAGUGACUUAUAAUAAUUAAUUGCGGGUGAUACAUUAAAAUCACGAUUGAAGCAGCAAAAAUCAGUCAAUUUUUUAAAAUUAUUUUGUUAAUUAUUGUUAUUUACAGUACUUUUUAUUUUAUUUUCAAAUAAUAUAUGUUGCUCUAUAUCUUCUUCUAUCUAGUCCCAAUUUAUGUGGCACUAGUAUAAUUUUGAUAGUCAAUCAAAUAUUUUAUGUUGACAUAUAAUUUUGUUAUUUUAUUUUUUAAUAUAUAAAUGACUUAUAAUAAGGAGUGAUAUAAUAAAAUCAUCGUUCGAAAGACAAAAUUUUAAUUUAAAACAUUAAGAGUUAAUUUCGCAUUUUAUGUCUAUUUUAUUUUUCAUUAAAUAUUAUUUAUUUUUUUAAUACCUAAUUGACUCAUAAUAAUUAAUUAAGAGCGAUUAAUUAUGUUAUUACUAUAAAAAUUAAUAUAAUUUUAUUAUAUCCAAUAGUAAUCUUCGAUAAUUCACUAAAAUAAUAUAUUAAUUAAAUACGAGAUGCUAUAUUUGCAUAUGCAAACUUUAAAAAUUUAAAGUUAAGUUUAAAUAUUAGUAUUUCUAUAUAAGAAAAAAAUUAAUUAAAAUAAAUAAAUAAAUAAAUAAAAAGAUUACUUUUCUAUAUAAAAGUCAAUUAAAAUAAUAAAAUUGAUUUACUUUCAAUAUUUAGUUGCAAUUAAUUAAGAUAAUUUUUUAUUUUGUCAUAAUUUAUGUUGAACCGAUAAAAUUUUGAGAGUUGAAUAGAACUUUUAUCUAUUUUUAAAAAAAGUAUUUUUACUUGUUAAUUAUUAUAAUUUAUAAUAAUUUGUACGUAUUUUAAAAUAAUAUAUUUACUCCUUGUGUCUCCAUUUAUAUGGUUUCAAUACAAUUUUGAGAAUCAACUAAAAUUUUUAUAUAUUUUUUAAAUAUUUUAAAUUGUUAAUUAUUAUAAUUUGCAGUAUUUUUUCUUUUAUCUCAAUUUAUGUGGCAUUGCUAAAAUAAUAAGAGUCAAUAAAUUUCUGUGUCUUUCAAAUAUUUUAAGUUAUUAAUUAUUGUGAUUCGUGAUGACAAAUUAGUUUUGAAUAUGAUAGCAAUUAAAUAAAUAAAAAAAAUUUACUUCUAAUAUGUAGUUAUAGUUAAUUAAUUUAAAUUUAAUAGAAUAUAUUAAAUACUUGAAUCAUUACGACGAAACAAUAAAAUUAUUAUAUAUUUAAGCAUGAUAUGUAAUUAAAUGAAAAUAAUUUUUUUUUGAUAAUUGCAUGAGAGGUGGUUGAAACCACCUCUUCUGCUGUAUAAUUGAAAUAUAAUGAUAAAAAUAGGUUGUGCGCACCUAAAAAAUGACCCUCACUUUCCACAAUUAUAUAUUCCGAGAAAAUUACAUAUAUAUCGUCUUUUGAUUUUAAUUUGUACAUAAUGCUCUGAUGUUUUUGCUUGUAUACCUUGCAAUCCAUUCUAUUUUACCAGUUCCAAAUUAAAAUUACACAAUUAUUAAGAAAAUCAUGAUCGAUAAAGUAGCUUUAUCAUUUAACCUCUCUUAAUUGUGUAUUGUUGUCAAUUUCAAUAUUAAUGGAUGACUAAUAUCAAAGCACUAUUUAUAUUCUUAAUAGUAUACUCUUUAUAACAUUUUUCAAGAAUAUUAAUAAUAAAAAGUAAUCAAUUAUACAAGGGAAUAAUGGUAAUCGACAUGCAAGCAAACUCUAAAAGAGGAGCCUGCAAUCCGGUCUGUUGAGCUUGAAUAUUAUGAAGUCAUCAUCGUGACACUUCUUCCACAAAUAAAUUAGAGUAAAAAGAAAAUUAGAAAACGUGUAAAAUUAAAAGAAAAAAAAAAGAAAUAAAAGAAAUUGCUUAAUCAAGUAAGAGCAGAUCAAGCUAUCAAACAUUAACUUAUACGUAAAUACCAUUGAUCACAUUUUGUAUUCCAUGCGAAAUUGGUUUUUAUGAAAAUGUUUCAUGUAAAACUGAACAAUGAAACUACAAAUCCUUGAUUUAUAUUAUAACUACAUAGUAAAAACUCAUAUCAAAACAUUAAAACUACAACUUGACAAAAGAUAAUUAACUAUUAGCGAUUAUUAAGGAAAAGCAAUUAAAAUUCAAUUAGUGGUAACUCACAACAAAUCUAUAGAAGGAUUUCCAGAUCACAAAUCCAUACCACAGAAAAUGCAAUCAUGAACCAGGAAUUUCAGAGAAGGUACAUGUUAAAGCUAAGCAAAAGCACUCAAAGAAAACAUUUUCAUAGGAAGCGAUUGAACUUCGAAAGGUAUGACACAAGCCACCAUAUCAUCAUCAGAACGAUAAUCAAUUUCAUUCACAACCAUAACUAGUUGUGUCCAAAGGUGUCCUAAGAUUGAUCUGUGUCAUCAUUUGACUUAUGGCAACCAAUAAACUAAGAAAAAUGUUGCAAAAAAAAAAAAAAAAAAAAUAUGUGCCACAAAUUAAAAACCAAAAGUAAAACUUGAAUUAAUAAACAGUAUGUGAUUCAGUUGCAACAUAAACAUAAUCACUAUUAUAAAAUCAGUCCAAGUGUUGGAAUUAAAAUAAUUGCUUCAUCAUCAUCACCAUUAGAACAAAAUAUAAAACGGCAGUUUCAUAAAUAGAAAAACAAGAAUAAAAGGUCAUUCAUCACCGAAAUCAGAAGAGGGAGCUUAGAUAUCCUCAUUAUGAUUUCAAUUUAAAAAACCACUAAAUAAGUUAGAAAAAUAAAUCAAAAGAAAAAAGAGUCACUCAGUUCAGCGGGGUAAUCGACACGCAAGCAAACUCUAAAAAUAGAGAAGCCUGCAAUCCGGUCUGUUGAGCUUGAAUAUUAUGGAGUCGUCACCGUGACCUUUUUUCCAUCAAAAAUCAAUUAGGGCAAGAAAAUGAAGAAAAAUUAAAAAGUAGAUCUGGGGGAGGAAUGAAAAUGCUCAGUGGUGGCUAGUUGUUAUUGGUUCGAUUCUGCCAGCAAGUUUCCUCAAUGUUACUCAGAAGAGGGAGCUUGGAAUCCUCAUUGCAAAAUCCACCUCCCCAAAAAUUGUUUACAAAAUCUAACAAAGAGAUUUAAAAAGCAUAUAUUAAAGAUGUAAAGAAGAGAUGGCUCAGGGAAGAAGGAGAUCGACAUGCAAAGACAGAAGCCCCUGACAAUCCGGUCUGUUUAGCUUGAUCUUUCAGAGUCCGCAUAGCCACUCUUCCUUCUACAUCAACUAAAAGUAUAAAUCAGAAAAUGCAAUAAAGAAAGGAAAAGGAAGAGGAGUUUGUUGCUGCUUUACUGUGUGAAUGGUGUGGGGGCG